CCUCGGCCUCCAGAAGGUGUUUUAUUACAGUCGCAAACAGCGCAGCCCAGGAAUUCUACCUAAAGUAACAUAUCCUAAGGCAACAACCAAGAAGUGUGGAAGAAUGCAUGUAAGAAGACACAGUGAUGUUUAGAAUCCUGGGGAAACGGAACAGCCAAAAAGUCUCACAGAGGUUAAGUAAAUAAUAGCAUUUUCAUACGAGUACUAUGUAGUCAUUUAAAAUUAUGUCUUUCAGUACCUAGUAAUGGGGAAAAUGUAUUCAUUAUAUAUUAUUAAAGAAAAUACAGGGUACAAAACACUGUAUAUAGACUGAUCUCAAAUGACUAUAUAUAUAUUAAUAUAUAUGGCCUACAGACACACAGUCAUGUAUUGCUUAACAAUGGG
rnacentral:lncRNA from 10 species